AUGGCAACACCCAGCAAUGCCUGUCUGCCAGACAAAGUCUCUCCUAUCAGCAGAUGGACACCCAGGAUGGAAAGGAGCCAUUUGCAAGGCACAAACAUCAGCCUUCACCAGGGAAACCAGAUGUUUUACCUGGUCCCUGCACUGGCCAACAGCUUUGGAGUAUGGGUGCUGUCUCCUGGGAAAGACUGUGGGCUCCUUGAGGGCCCUGCCUUUUUGUUCUGUGUAGCCCCGGCACAUAGUAGAGCACGACACACAACUCAACACAGGCCAGAAGCCAGUUUCAGUUAUGCUUUUGUCCAUGUCAUGCAUGCCACUGGGAUGUCUGCAGAAGGAAGCAGUGAAGAAGCAGUCGUGAGAGGCGAUUCUUUCCAUGAGUUUUCUCCAGAAACCCUUGUGAGAGAUGAUUCUGUUCAUGCGUUUUCUCCAGAAAUGAGGUUGCAUGAAGGUCAUCUGCCUCUGUCAGAGCCAACUUUACAAGUGUGCGCUGAGCCUGGGACUUCCCGUGUGAAGAUGCAAGGCUGGCAGAAACCCAGACAUGCUUACUAAACUGAAAUUCAACUUCGACUUACUGCUGAGAGCAAAGGGCCAUAAUGAAGGUGUCUUCGUCCAUUUCGUGUUGCUAUAAAGGAAUACCUGAGACUGGGUUACUUAUAAAGAAAAUAAAGUGUAUUUGGCUCAUGAUUCUGAUGGUUGG
rnacentral:lncRNA from 13 species